AGAUAUAAGGCAGACCAUGUUAAACACUCCUUAAUAACGGACAAAACCAAAUGAGACCUGCCCUAAUGUCUUUGGUUGGGGCGACCGCGGGGAAACAAAAAACCCCCACGUGGAAAGGGAGCACUCCCUCCUACAACUAAGAGCUACUGCUUUAGUUAACAGAAUUUCUGACCAAUAAGAUCCGGCAACGCCGAUCAACGGACCGAGUUACUCUAGGGAUAACAGCGCAAUCCCCUUUUAGAGCCCAUAUCGACAAGGGGGUUUACGACCUCGAUGUUGGAUCAGGACAUCCUAAUGGUGCAGCCGCUAUUAAG
rnacentral:rRNA from 1 species